rnacentral:rRNA from 1 species
UACAGAGGUCCCAAGCGUUGUUCGGAUUCACUGGGCGUAAAGGGUGCGUAGGCGGCCUGUCGCGUCGGCUGUGAAAACCUGGGGCUCAACCCCGGGCCUGCAGCCGAUACGGGCAGGCUAGAAUUCGGUAGGGGAGACUGGAAUUCCUGGUGUAGCGGUGAAAUGCGCAGAUAUCAGGAGGAACACCGGUGGCGAAGGCGGGUCUCUGGGCCGAUAUUGACGCUGAGGAGCGAAAGCGUGGGGAGCAAACAGG